rnacentral:rRNA from 1 species
GGGUUGUGAGGUUAAGCGACUAAGCGUACACGGUGGAUGCCCUGGCAGUCAGAGGCGAUGAAGGACGUGCUAAUCUGCGAUAAGCGUCGGUAAGGUGAUAUGAACCGUUAUAACCGGCGAUUUCCGAAUGGGGAAACCCAGUGUGAUUCGUCACACUAUCAUUAACUGAAUCCAUAGGUUAAUGAGGCGAACCGGGGGAACUGAAACAUCUAAGUACCCCGAGGAAAAGAAAUCAACCGAGAUUCCCCCAGUAGCGGCGAGCGAACGGGGAGGAGCCCAGAGCCUGAAUCAGUGUGUGUGUUAGUGGAAGCGUCUGGAAAGGCGCGCGAUACAGGGUGACAGCCCCGUACACAAAAAUGCACAUGCUGUGAGCUCGAUGAGUAGGGCGGGACACGUGGUAUCCUGUCUGAAUAUGGGGGGACCAUCCUCCAAGGCUAAAUACUCCUGACUGACCGAUAGUGAACCAGUACCGUGAGGGAAAGGCGAAAAGAACCCCGGCGAGGGGAGUGAAAAAGAACCUGAAACCGUGUACGUACAAGCAGUGGGAGCCUCUUUAUGGGGUGACUGCGUACCUUUUGUAUAAUGGGUCAGCGACUUAUAUUCUGUAGCAAGGUUAACCGAAUAGGGGAGCCGAAGGGAAACCGAGUCUUAACUGGGCGUUAAGUUGCAGGGUAUAGACCCGAAACCCGGUGAUCUAGCCAUGGGCAGGUUGAAGGUUGGGUAACACUAACUGGAGGACCGAACCGACUAAUGUUGAAAAAUUAGCGGAUGACUUGUGGCUGGGGGUGAAAGGCCAAUCAAACCGGGAGAUAGCUGGUUCUCCCCGAAAGCUAUUUAGGUAGCGCCUCGUGAAUUCAUCUCCGGGGGUAGAGCACUGUUUCGGCAAGGGGGUCAUCCCGACUUACCAACCCGAUGCAAACUGCGAAUACCGGAGAAUGUUAUCACGGGAGACACACGGCGGGUGCUAACGUCCGUCGUGAAGAGGGAAACAACCCAGACCGCCAGCUAAGGUCCCAAAGUCAUGGUUAAGUGGGAAACGAUGUGGGAAGGCCCAGACAGCCAGGAUGUUGGCUUAGAAGCAGCCAUCAUUUAAAGAAAGCGUAAUAGCUCACUGGUCGAGUCGGCCUGCGCGGAAGAUGUAACGGGGCUAAACCAUGCACCGAAGCUGCGGCAGCGACGCUUAUGCGUUGUUGGGUAGGGGAGCGUUCUGUAAGCCUGCGAAGGUGUACUGUGAGGUAUGCUGGAGGUAUCAGAAGUGCGAAUGCUGACAUAAGUAACGAUAAAGCGGGUGAAAAGCCCGCUCGCCGGAAGACCAAGGGUUCCUGUCCAACGUUAAUCGGGGCAGGGUGAGUCGACCCCUAAGGCGAGGCCGAAAGGCGUAGUCGAUGGGAAACAGGUUAAUAUUCCUGUACUUGGUGUUACUGCGAAGGGGGGACGGAGAAGGCUAUGUUGGCCGGGCGACGGUUGUCCCGGUUUAAGCGUGUAGGCUGGUUUUCCAGGCAAAUCCGGAAAAUCAAGGCUGAGGCGUGAUGACGAGGCACUACGGUGCUGAAGCAACAAAUGCCCUGCUUCCAGGAAAAGCCUCUAAGCAUCAGGUAACAUCAAAUCGUACCCCAAACCGACACAGGUGGUCAGGUAGAGAAUACCAAGGCGCUUGAGAGAACUCGGGUGAAGGAACUAGGCAAAAUGGUGCCGUAACUUCGGGAGAAGGCACGCUGAUACGUAGGUGAAGUCCCUUGCGGAUGGAGCUGAAAUCAGUCGAAGAUACCAGCUGGCUGCAACUGUUUAUUAAAAACACAGCACUGUGCAAACACGAAAGUGGACGUAUACGGUGUGACGCCUGCCCGGUGCCGGAAGGUUAAUUGAUGGGGUUAGCGGUAACGCGAAGCUCUUGAUCGAAGCCCCGGUAAACGGCGGCCGUAACUAUAACGGUCCUAAGGUAGCGAAAUUCCUUGUCGGGUAAGUUCCGACCUGCACGAAUGGCGUAAUGAUGGCCAGGCUGUCUCCACCCGAGACUCAGUGAAAUUGAACUCGCUGUGAAGAUGCAGUGUACCCGCGGCAAGACGGAAAGACCCCGUGAACCUUUACUAUAGCUUGACACUGAACAUUGAGCCUUGAUGUGUAGGAUAGGUGGGAGGCUUUGAAGUGUGGACGCCAGUCUGCAUGGAGCCGACCUUGAAAUACCACCCUUUAAUGUUUGAUGUUCUAACGUUGGCCCCUGAUCGGGGUUGCGGACAGUGUCUGGUGGGUAGUUUGACUGGGGCGGUCUCCUCCUAAAGAGUAACGGAGGAGCACGAAGGUUGGCUAAUCCUGGUCGGACAUCAGGAGGUUAGUGCAAUGGCAUAAGCCAGCUUGACUGCGAGCGUGACGGCGCGAGCAGGUGCGAAAGCAGGUCAUAGUGAUCCGGUGGUUCUGAAUGGAAGGGCCAUCGCUCAACGGAUAAAAGGUACUCCGGGGAUAACAGGCUGAUACCGCCCAAGAGUUCAUAUCGACGGCGGUGUUUGGCACCUCGAUGUCGGCUCAUCACAUCCUGGGGCUGAAGUAGGUCCCAAGGGUAUGGCUGUUCGCCAUUUAAAGUGGUACGCGAGCUGGGUUUAGAACGUCGUGAGACAGUUCGGUCCCUAUCUGCCGUGGGCGCUGGAGAACUGAGGGGGGCUGCUCCUAGUACGAGAGGACCGGAGUGGACGCAUCACUGGUGUUCGGGUUGUCAUGCCAAUGGCACUGCCCGGUAGCUAAAUGCGGAAGAGAUAAGUGCUGAAAGCAUCUAAGCACGAAACUUGCCCCGAGAUGAGUUCUCCCUGAC